rnacentral:rRNA from 1 species
GGGUAGCGGAGAAAUUCCAAUCGAACCCGGAGAUAGCUGGUUCUCCCCGAAAUAGUUUUAGGACUAGCCUCAAGUUAGAUACCUGGAGGUAAAGCACUGAAUAGCCUAGCGGCCGAGAGGUUAGCGAAGCUUAUCAAACUCAGAAUGCCAGAGUAUUGAUGCUUGGGAGUCAGACAGUGUCAGAUAAAUGUCAUUGUCAAAAGGGAAACAGCCCAGAUCUACAGCUAAGGUCCCAAAGUCAGGUUAAGUGGAAAACGAUGUGAAGAUACGCAGACAACCAGGAUGUUGGCUCAGAAGCAGCCACUCAUUCAAAGAGUGCGUAAUAGCUCACUGGUCGAGCGUCUUUGCGCGGAGAAUUUAACGGGGCUAAACCUGACACCGAAGCUUAGGCAAUACAGCAAUGUAUUGGGUAGGGGAGCGUUGUAUACGCGGUGAAACAGUAGCGCAAGCGGCUGUGGAGUGUAUAGAAGUGAGAAUGCCGGAAUGAGUAGCGCGAAUGCAGUGAGAAUCUGCAUGGCCGAAAGCCUCAGGUUUUUGGAGGAAGGUUCGUCCGCUCCAAGUUAGUCGGGAGCUAAGGUGAGGCCGAAAGGCGUAGCCGAUGCACAGACGGUAGAGAUUCCGUCACCACCAAAAGAGUUAAGCACAGGGACACAUAAGAAGUCUCAGAGCCGGGUGUUGGUUCCGGUAGAGAUCGAGGGAAAAUAGUACCGAAGUCUGGGAUGGAAGAUGGCGAGAAAAGCUGUGUGGAUUUCUGAGGUGCCCGUACCGCAAACCGACACAGGUAGGUAGGAAGAAGAUUCUAAGGCCAACGGGAGAAGGGUUGUUAAGGAACUCGGCAAAUUGACCCCGUAACUUCGGGAGAAGGGGUGCUCCAGAGAUGGAGCCGCAGAGAAUCGGCCCAAGCAACUGUUUACCAAAAACACAGGUUUGUGCUAAAUCGAAAGAUGACGUAUACGAGCUGACGCCUGCCCGGUGCUGGAAGGUUAAGAGGAGAUGUGCAAGCAUUGAAUCGAAGCCCCAGUGAACGGCGGCCGUAACUAUAACGGUCCUAAGGUAGCGAAAUUCCUUGUCAGGUAAGUUCUGACCCGCAUGAAAGGCGUAAUGAUUUGGGCACUGUCUCAACAGCCCGCCCGGCGAAAUUGUAGUACCGGUGAAGAUGCCGGUUACCCGCGACAAGACGGAAAGACCCCAUGGAGCUUUACUGUAGCCUAAUAUUGGGUUUCGAUGUUGCAUGCACAGGAUAGAUGGGACACAGGGAAACAAGUGCUUUGGCAUUCGUGGAGUGGCCGUUGGGAUACCAUCCUUGCGAUAUUGGAAUUCUAACCUGCGCCUUUGAAUCAAGGCGGGGGACAUUGUUAGGUGGGCAGUUUGACUGGGGCGGUCGCCUCCUAAAGAGUAACGGAGGCGUUCAAAGGUUCGCUCAGCUUGAACGGAAAUCAAGCAAAAGAGUGCAAACGCAGAAGCGAGCCUAACUGCGAGACUGACGGGUCGAGCAGUAACGAAAGUUGGAGUUAGUGAUCCGGUGGUAUGUGAGUGG